UAAUGGAUGAUGAAGGUAUAGCAAUUAUUUCGGCUGUGGUUCAACAGCAAAAUAUUUUCUUGCACCAACUAAUAAUGUUGCUGUCAAUGAAUAAUGAUGAUGACGAUAAUGACUUUAACAUUGACGAGGAUGAGAUGACCCAGAUGACUGCCAUAAAAACACAAAAGCCAGGAAGAUUAUGGUCGUUUAAGCGGUUCGGGACAUUUUGGGAGAAAGAUGUACCAGAAAACAACGAGGCGUUUUUCAAAGAGAGUUUCCGAAUGGAGAGGCCCUGCUUUGAUAUUUUAGUGAAUCGGCUUGAAGUGCUGCGAAAGAAGGACACCAACUGCCGAGCUGCAAUUCCUUUGGAAAAGCGCAUCGCCAUUGCGCUAUACACUUUGGGCUCGUCCUCUGAGUACCGAACAGUUGGCAGGCUUUUCGGUGUAGCUCCAAACAGUUUGUGUAAUAUCCUGCACGAGUUUUGCAGAGCACUUAUCGACGAGUUUUCGAAGGAGUACAUGUCGCCCAAUUACCUAACUUCCGACAAAAUUUAUGAGUGCGUAAAGGGAUUCGAGGCAAUUGGGUUUCCUCAGUGCCUAGGUGCAAUUGAUGGAUGCCACAUCGAAAUAAAACCACCAGCAGCUGAGGCAGUAGACCACCAUAACUAUAAGGGCUGGUAUUCCACAGUCUUGUUUGCCCUAGUGGAUUAUAGAUACAGAUUUACAUAUGUAAAUAUCGGCUCUGAAGGAAGGUGCAAUGACUCGAUGAUAUACCAGAAGUCAAGCCUUGCAAAACAUAUCGAAGCAUCGGCAUUACUCCAAGAGAAAGCCAAGGAAAUAAGCGGAGUAAACGUCCCUGUAAUGCUUAUCGGGGACUCAGCAUUUAGGUUUUCUAAAAAGCUGAUGAUACCUUACCCGUUUUCCACAGUCGCCUCUUUGGAAUAGCGCACGUUUAACUACAACCUUUCCAAAGCUAGGCGAGUGGUGGAAAAUGCAUUUGGGCAUUUAAAAGCCAGAUUUCGAAUAAUCGGAAAAGGUCUUGAUAGCCACCAUAAGCUACAGUCGGUAAGCCGACUUGGCAUAAGCGAUAAUGCUGAUCUUGCGGCAUGUGCAAGAUAUCAGAUUACCGCCGGUUGAUCGUCACAUUCAGGGCGCUGAACUGAAGUUCGCUGAUUUGGCAUUUUGAGUGCAAACAACAUGGAGCAGAGCACAUUGGACAACGACAAUCCUGAUGAGUACUUUUCGGAUAUUAUUGAGAUGGACCUGGACGGAUCUUGUAGCUCCAGCACCUUGUCUGGGCGUCCGCCAAAGAAAAAGAAAAAGACCGACAUUUCGUGGCUGGCAGAGAUCGCCCAGGAGCGUCUCGAACAACAAAAGGACCACCACAGAAAGAAGGAGGAGCACGACGUUAGGCAGGAGAAGAUGGUGCAGGACUUGAUCAGCACCCAAACAAAAUUCCAGAACGACUUAUUAGAAGUUUUAAAAAAUAAAAAUAAAUAAGUUUUUAA